rnacentral:lncRNA from 1 species
GCAGUGGGCCGUUCGGGGCCAGGAAGAAUUUGUUAUGAAAUAUAGUGGAGUGAAAUUGUGGCCAUCACUACGAUCUGCCACGUGGAGUCUGUUGCAGAGAGCGAAGCGGCGUCCGUUGUCACGACUUGCCAGAGGGUGGAGAAGCCGUGCAGUAUCCGUCGCAAGAAGUGAAGCAGAGUAGUGGCCAUUACCGUGGCCUGUCAGGGAGUGAUGGAGCCGCACAGGAUCCAUCACAGAAAGUGGAGCAGAGUCAUGGCCGUUACUGUGGCCUGCC